GUGCACCAGGCGAGAAUACUUCACACUGUGCGAAAGCACGAUGAGGGAAUCCCAAGUGCUUGCACGUAAGUGUAAGCUGUUUCUCUGUCUAAAACGCAGAGAGAGUAAGGGCUGGGUAAGACGGGUGCCAGCCGCCGCGGUAAUACCUGCAGCUCAAGUGGUGACCGUUAUUAUUGGGCCUAAAACGUCCGUAGCCGGUUUAAUAAAUGCCUGGGUAAAUUGUGUAGCUUAACUAUACGAAUUCCGGGUAGACUGUUAAACUUGAGACCGGGGAGAAGUUAGAGGUACU
rnacentral:rRNA from 1 species